GGGGCUAUAGCUCAGUUGGUAGAGCGCUUCGUUCGCAACGAAGAGGUCAGGGGUUCGAUUCCCCUUAGCUCCACAA
rnacentral:tRNA from 1 species